rnacentral:rRNA from 1 species
CCUGGCGGCAGUAGCGCGGUGGUCCCACCUGACCCCAUGCCGAACUCAGAAGUGAAACGCCGUAGCGCCGAUGGUAGUGUGGGGUCUCCCCAUGCGAGAGUAGGGAACGGCGAGCG